GAUGAAGAACGUAGCGAAAUGCGAUACGUAAUGUGAAUUGCAGAAUUCAGUGAAUCAUCGAAUCUUUGAACGCAUAUUGCGCCUUCUGGUAUUCCGGAAGGCAUGCUUGUUUGAGUAUCAGUAACAACCUCAACUCCUUUUCAAUCGUGUUAUGCGUGAGGGAAGGGGUUGGAUUUGAGCAUAUCCACCGGGCCACAUUGGCUUGAGGGAUGCUUGAAAUGGAGGUUCGGCCGACAGUGCCUGGGCUACAAGCAUUUCAUACUUAAUCCCGUUAAACGGAUUAUAUCCUUUGCUGCAGCCAACAUACAGGGUAACUGUCAGUAACCGACUGAUGCAGGAAAGUUGAGAUGGGUUCUUCGGAUCCUAGCCUCUUCUAAACUCGAUCUCAAAUCAAGUAAGACUACCCGCUGAACUUAAGCAUAUCAAUAAGCGGAGGGA
rnacentral:misc_RNA from 1 species